rnacentral:lncRNA from 1 species
GAAAAUAAGGAUACACUUACACAGAUGACUCGGACACAUGUUAUUUUAUUGAAAGGGAAAAACAAGCAACUAAAAUAAACAAAACAUACUAAAAAUAAAAGUAAACGGUAAAAAGCGAUAAAAGUAAAGGAAAGCGGUAAAAAGCGAUAAAAGUAAAGGAAAGCGAUAAAAAGCAAUAAAAGUAAAGGAAAGAUGAAAAGCGAUAAAAU